AGCAGCCGCCGCGGUAAUACGUAGGGUGCAAGCGUUAAUCGGAAUUACUGGGCGUAAAGCGUGCGCAGGCGGUUAUAUGAGUCAGAUGUGAAAUCCCCGGGCUCAACCUGGGAACUGCAUUUGAGACUGUAUGGCUAGAGUGUGUCAGAGGGGGGUAGAAUUCCACGUGUAGCAGUGAAAUGCGUAGAUAUGUGAAGGAAUACUGAUGGCGAAGGCAGCCCCCUGGGAUAACACUGACGCUCAUGCACGAAAGCGUGGGGAGCAAACAGGAUUAGAUACCCCCGUAGUCCCUGUCUCUUAUAC
rnacentral:rRNA from 1 species